ensembl:lncRNA
UAUUCACAAAGCAAAUGGUUUCUUUUCAAAUAUGCUGUUAAAUGGUCACUUCUGUUUGUGCUGUAAAGACAGUUGAUGGUAGUUGGCAUUCCCUGAUGGAUUGUCUCUGUCUGACUGAAUUCAAUGCACUUCUCUGUUUUCAUUGCUGAAAAAAUCAGAAAAAGCACUGUAAUUUUUCUCCACAAGCGAAAACAACAGCUGUAUAAAUUAUACUAUAUCAUGUUGGUUUACUGUGGCUCAGGCAUGGUAGUAAUCUUUUUUCCAACCCCAAUCCCAAAAAAGUUGGGACAGUAUGGAAAAUGCAAAACAAACCGACAAAAUUAAUCAUUUGAAAAUUCAAUUCAACCUGUACUGUAUAUAUUGAAAACACAAAGUUUUACUUUGUGAAUUUAAUUUAUUUUUUGAAAAUAUACACUCAUUUCAAAUCUGAUGACUGCAGCACACUCCAAAAAAGUUGGGACAGUAAACUUUUUACCACUGUGUAACACAACCUUUUUUUUUUUUUUUUUUAAAUAACACUUAAGCGUUUGGGUACUGAAGACUCCAGUUGGGUUACCCAUGCCAUGGGCACUGACACACCCCCAUUCCAUGACAGAUGCUGGCUUUUGGACCUGACGCUGAUAACAGCUUGGAUGGUCCUUUUGGCCCGGAGAACACAACGGCUGUUUUGUCCAAAAACUAUUUUAAAAUGUUGACUUGUCGGACCACAAAACACAAUUCCACUGUGCUACUGUCCAUCUCAGAUGAGACUGAGCUCAGAGAAGUUGGUGGCGCUUCUGGACAGUGUUGUUGUGUGGCUUCUGCUUUGCAUCGUAAAGCCUCGCAUCUGUGGCUGCAGCGACAAAUGGAGUUGAUAGACAAAGCCAAUGGACAAUGGAGUAUUCCCGAGCCUGAGCCAAUAUCCAUUACAGACUCGGUUUUUAACCAUUUUUUAAGACAGUGACAUCUGAGGGAUCUGAGAUCACGCACAUUCAGAAGUGGCUUUCAGCCUUGCCCUUUAUGCACCAAGAUUUGACUGGAUUCCUUGAAUCUUUUAAUUAUAAAGUGCAUUGUAGAAGAUGAAAUGCCCAAAAUCCUACCGAUUUGUCUUUGGAAUGUUGUUCUCAAAGUGUUGGAUUAUUCGCUGAUGCAUCUGUUGGCAGAUUGGCGAGUCUCAACCCAUCCUACCUCUUGAAGGACUAGGCCUGUUUUGGAGGUGCCUUAUAUACUAUGAUUAGAUGAUUGCCUCAUCUGUUUAACAUCACCUUCUUAUUUCAACUUGUCACAUAACUAUUAGUUCUAAAUUGCCCCGUCCCUACUUUUUUGGAAUGUGUUCCAUGCAUCA